GAGUUUGAUCGUGGCUCAGGAUGAACGCUGGCGGCGUGCCUAAUACAUGCAAGUCGAGCGAACGGACGAGAAGCUUGCUUCUCUGAUGUUAGCGGCGGACGGGUGAGUAACACGUGGAUAACCUACCUAUAAGACUGGGAUAACUUCGGGAAACCGGAGCUAAUACCGGAUAAUAUUUUGAACCGCAUGGUUCAAAAGUGAAAGACGGUCUUGCUGUCACUUAUAGAUGGAUCCGCGCUGCAUUAGCUAGUUGGUAAGGUAACGGCUUACCAAGGCAACGAUGCAUAGCCGACCUGAGAGGGUGAUCGGCCACACUGGAACUGAGACACGGUCCAGACUCCUACGGGAGGCAGCAGUAGGGAACUC
rnacentral:rRNA from 1 species